GAGAGACGUUGCCCUUCGGGGUAUACCUCCCACCCUUUGUUUAUUAUACCUUUGUUGCUUUGGCGGGCCCGUCCUCGGACCACCGGCUUCUGCUGGUCAGUGCCCGCCAGAGGACCUAAAACUCUGUUUGUUAAUAUUGUCUGAGUACUAUAUAAUAGUUA
rnacentral:misc_RNA from 1 species